rnacentral:tRNA from 1 species
GGGGUUGUGGCUCAGUGGUAGAGCACUUGCCUAGCAUGCAGGAGGCACUAGGUUAGAUUUCCCCA